GGUGUAGCUCAGUGGUAGUGUGCAUGCUUUGUAUGUAUGAUGUCCUGGGGUCAAUUCCCAGCUUCUCCC
rnacentral:tRNA from 1 species